rfam:Schistosoma mattheei strain Denwood, Zambia genome assembly, scaffold: SMTD_scaffold0015533
AUACAGCUGACGAGUCCGAAAUAGGACGAAACGCACGUCCUAGAC